AUACGGAGGAUCCUAGUGUUAUCCGGAUUUAUUGGGUUUAAAGGGAGCGUAGGCGGGAGGUCAAGUCAGCUGUGAAAUGUAUCUGCUUAACGGGUACACUGCAGUUGAAACUGGUUUUCUUGAGUGCGUAAGAGGCAGGCGGAAUUCGUUGUGUAGGGGUGAAAUGCUUAGAUAUGACGAGGAACUCCUAUUGCGAAGGCAGCUUGCUGGGUCGUUACUGACGCUGAUGCUCGAAGGUGCGGGGAUCAAACAGGAUUAGAUACCCUGGUAGUCCGCACAGUAAACUAUGGAUACUCUCUGCCGGCGAUAUAUUGUCGGUGGCCAAGCGAAAGCGUUAAGUAUCCCACCUGGGGAGUACGUUCGCAAGAAUGAAACUCAAAUGAAUGGACGGGG
rnacentral:rRNA from 1 species